rnacentral:rRNA from 1 species
UACGUAGGGUGCAAGCGUUAAUCGGAAUUACUGGGCGUAAAGCGUGCGCAGGCGGUUGUGCAAGUCAGACGUGAAAUCCCCCGGCUUAACCUGGGAACUGCGUCUGAUACUGGGAGGCUUGAGUAUGGGAGAGGGAUGUAGAAUUCCAGGUGUAGCGGUGAAAUGCGUAGAUAUCUGGAGGAAUACCGGUGGCGAAGGCGGCAUCCUGGACCAUAACUGACGCUGAGGCGCGAAAGCUAGGGGAGCAAACGGG